rnacentral:tRNA from 1 species
GCGGGAGUAGCUUAGUUGGUAGAGCGGUUCCUUGCCAAGGAACAGGUCGCGGGUUCAAGUCCCGUCUCCCGCU